rnacentral:rRNA from 1 species
UACGUAGGGGGCUAGCGUUGUCCGGAUUUAUUGGGCGUAAAGAGCGUGUAGGCGGCCAGAUAGGUCUGCUGUGAAAACUCGAGGCUCAACCUCGAGCUGUCGGCGGAAACCAUUUGGCUAGAGUCCGGAAGAGGAGAGUGGAAUUCCUGGUGUAGCGGUGAAAUGCGCAGAUAUCAGGAAGAACACCUAUGGCGAAGGCAGCUCUCUGGGACGGUACUGACGCUGAGACGCGAAAGCGUGGGGAGCGAACAGG